AGUUCGGAUUGCAGGCUGAAACCCGCCCUGCAUGAAGCCGGAAUUGCUAGUAAUCGCGGAUCAGCAUGCCGCGGUGAAUACGUUCCCGGGUCUUGUACACACCGCCCGUCACACCAUGAGAGUUGGCAACACCCGAAGUCAGUAGCCUAACCGAAAGGAGGGCGCUGCCGAAGGUGGGGUCGAUGAUUGGGGUGAAGUCGUAACAAGGUACC
rnacentral:rRNA from 1 species